rnacentral:rRNA from 1 species
GACGAACCGUGCGAACGUUAUUCGGAAUCAUUGGGCUUAAAGGGCGCGUAGGCGGCUUGGUCAGUCCCGUGUGAAAUCCCUCGGCUCAACUGAGGAACUGCACGGGAAACUGCCUGGCUUGAGUUCGGGAGAGGGAAGCGGAAUUCCGGGUGUAGCGGUGAAAUGCGUAGAUAUCCGGAGGAACACCGGUGGCGAAGGCGGCUUCCUGGACCGACACUGACGCUGAGGCGCGAAAGCUAGGGGAGCAAACGGG